UGCACCCGGCCGGGGCGCUGCACGCCGCGCGCCCGCCGCCGCCCGCCGUGCUCUACACGGAGAUGCUGCGCACGCGCCGCGCCUACCUGCUCACGGUAUCCGCCAUCCAACCUCAAUGGCUGCACCAGGUGGCGCCCGAGUACGCGCGGCGGUGUCGCGCGGUGCGGUGACAGCGGCCGAAGAACUCCCAACGCAGGCUGUUACUGUAGGGUAUAUUAUUAUGCAUAAUGUAUUUUUCAUUUAAUUAUACAGGCUGUAGUCUUAACAGCUACGCCCGACUCCGGGGUGAUAAUAAACAUGAAAGAAAAGUAAAUUUUCCUCCACUUACGCAAGAAAGAUCUUCAUUAUAAGAUACACAGGGUGUCCCAAAAACAAUGGAUAACUUAACUAUUGAUAAGCCUCACUAUGGUCUCUAAUAAAAUUUUGACCAAGUAGAAAUAUCACGGUUCGUGACACCCACAGAGCCAAAAGGUUCGCAACACAUUUUUGUUACAGUUGGAACUUUUUGACCAAUUUGGGUGUCACGAACUUAUUUGACGCUGACUGUACUCAUAAAACAGGUGAAAUUCCAUCACCAUCAUUGAACAAUAGAAAGUCAAUUAGGUCCGAAUUCAUAGUAAGUACCUAAUAUUAAUAUACAAUCCUUUUUGUCCGAUUGAAAAAAAUAUUAAUAAGUUAUGCAUAUUAUCGCUAGUUCAAUUCAAAACGUCUUUUUAGGGACCUGGGUAUGUACCCGUUUAUAUUAUUAAGGUAUUAAUGCCCGGAUUACAUGAGGUUUUUAUUUUUAACAGAAUUAUUUAACUGUUCUUCUUGAACUUCGCUGAGAUAGGUACAAAAUAGCCUUAGAAUUAAGAUACCACAAUGAUCCUCUUGACACAGAUUAGAUUUUGUGUACCGAUUUUAUAUUCGUUAAAUAGCCUCUUGUGCUCUGGACAUAAGGUCAUAUUUUUGCCAAUGAUACAAGUUAAAAAGAGAUUGUAAACAUUUUAAAGUUAUAAUGCAUUGAAAUAAGUGAAUUUAGAUUAUAAGAAAUAGCCUAAUGAAUGUGAAUACAAAUAGGCAUAAUGUUAAUAAUAAUUUUAGUCUAAAUAAUUGCGCGUUAGAGUUGUCUCUAGUAAUAAAAUUACGUUUUUAUUGUUUUAUUAUAUGUAUAGAUUUCGACACCUGUUAUAAUUGUCACGUAAGUUUAUUAUGCAAUUAAGUAAAUGAUAAUGUUUCCUGUCUUUUUCCAUAAAAUAUAUUUUUGUAAUUAUUAAUGUUUUAUUGGACGUUGAUACCAUCUGUCAUCUUGAAGAUUUGAAGUAAUGCUUCUAUCUUUAAACAAAGUCCUUUGAAGCCCUUUGAUGGCGUUCUCAUGGAGGGCCCGUGUUCAAAGCUUAAUGACUUUAAUGGCUUAUUACUUGUAAAUGUUCUUUAAACUUUGCUGUACUUUACAUACCUGAUCCUACUUAUUGCACAAUACUGCGAAAGUUACAGAGUUAUUACAGGUCAAGUAGUAUAGCUGAAUUUUUGAUUUUGUAGUUCGAAAUGACAGAGGAAAACAUUUAAGAAUCGUUAGGUGGUCUUUUGUUACAUUAUCGGGACAGCACGGCACGGGACUUUUAGGUCACGAUUAAUAAUGAACCUUAUAGUGUUAACGCUACGGUUGAAAAUUGUAAUGAAGUCUGCCGCUUCGGUAUUCCUAAGCAUGCUGUGGCUUGCUAAAACCAUUAGCAUUGCAAUUUCAACCGUAGCGUGAAAACUAUGAAAGUGCAUAAUUAUUCGUCACCUAAAAAUCUCUUGCCGUGCUGGUCCGAUGAUGUCCCAGUCUCAUAUUCUCUUGGGAAGAAGUACGGCAUUCCCAGCGAGACGCGCCGCGGGACCUUUGCCUCCGUGUGUCCGUGGAUACAAGGGUUUAAACAUUAUUCACUGAAUUUUACCUGCUUGUUAUUUGACCGCGGUUAGUUGUCUCAACUACAUUUUCAUCUCACGUGAGAGUAAAUGUGAACUCCGAAUAUUGUCAAGUCUUUUUACGUUAGAAACUCUAAAAUAAUGUAUAUUUUAUAAAAAUGUGAAAUAAAAAAUAUAGCCUACUGCCGUUAUGAGACUUAAUAUUACAAUUAAUGAAAUAUAAUUUUAUAUUUUUUUUAUUACUCAUCACUCACGAACGUAUAAUUAUUGUUAAGUAAGUACCUAUUUCUAACCGAUUUGAAGUUAAGUGUAUGAAAAUUAAAUAUUGAAAUCUGGUGCUAAAUGUAUUUAGUUAAAAUCGUUUCGUGACUUUUAUUAACAGAAAAGUUUUUAUGUCUUAGAUGAAUUAGUUAAUAAAAUGUUUUUACCAUA